AAAUUGAAGAGUUUGAUCAUGGCUCAGAUUGAACGCUGGCGGCAGGCCUAACACAUGCAAGUCGAACGGUAACAGGAAGACGCUUGCUUCUUUGCUGACGAGUGGCGGACGGGUGAGUAAUGUCUGGGAAACUGCCUGAUGGAGGGGGAUAACUACUGGAAACGGUAGCUAAUACCGCAUAACGUCGCAAGACCAAAGAGGGGGACCUUCGGGCCUCUUGCCAUCGGAUGUGCCCAGAUGGGAUUAGCUUGUUGGUGGGGUAA
rnacentral:rRNA from 1 species